GACUGAAUUUGGAGAAGGAGCAGGGGACUGAAAAUCCCCGUGUCGGUGGUUCGAUUCCGCCUCUGGGCACCA
rnacentral:tRNA from 1 species